CACUCCUACGGGAGGCAGCAGUGGGGAAUUUUGGACAAUGGGCGAAAGCCUGAUCCAGCCAUGCCGCGUGCAGGAUGAAGGCCUUCGGGUUGUAAACUGCUUUUGUACGGAACGAAACGGCCUUUUCUAAUAAAGAGGGCUAAUGACGGUACCGUAAGAAUAAGCACCGGCUAACUACGUGCCAGCAGCCGCGGUAAUACGUAGGGUGCAAGCGUUAAUCGGAAUUACUGGGCGUAAAGCGUGCGCAGGCGGUUAUGUAAGACAGUUGUGAAAUCCCCGGGCUCAACCUGGGAACUGCAUCUGUGACUGCAUAGCUAGAGUACGGUAGAGGGGGAUGGAAUUCCGCGUGUAGCAGUGAAAUGCGUAGAUAUGCGGAGGAACACCGAUGGCGAAGGCAAUCCCCUGGACCUGUACUGACGCUCAUGCACGAAAGCGUGGGGAGCAAACAGGAUUAGAUACCCUAGUAGUCCC
rnacentral:rRNA from 1 species